AGUGAACGCUGGCGGUAGGCCUAACACAUGCAAGUCGAACGGCAGCACAGGAGAGCUUGCUCUCUGGGUGGCGAGUGGCGGACGGGUGAGGAAUACAUCGGAAUCUACUCUGUCGUGGGGGAUAACGUAGGGAAACUUACGCUAAUACCGCAUACGACCUACGGGUGAGAGCAGGGGACCUUCGGGCCUUGCGCGAUUGAAUGAGCCGAUGUCGGAUUAGCUAGUUGGCGGGGUAAAGGCCACCAAGGCGACGAUCCGUAGCUGGUCUGAGAGGAUGAUCAGCCACACUGGAACUGAGACACGGUCCAGACUCCUACGGGAGGCAGCAGUGGGGAAUAUUGGACAAUGGGCGCAAGCCUGAUCCAGCCAUACCGCGUGGGUGAAGAAGGCCUUCGGGUUGUAAAGCCCUUUUGUUGGGAAAGAAAUCCAGCUGGCUAAUACCCGGUUGGGAUGACGGUACCCAAAGAAUAAGCACCGGCUAACUUCGUGCCAGCCGCCGCUGUAA
rnacentral:rRNA from 1 species